GCUUGCUACUUUGCUGACGAGCGGCGGACGGGUGAGUAAUGCUUGGGAACAUGCCUUGAGGUGGGGGACAACAGUUGGAAACGACUGCUAAUACCGCAUAAUGUCUACGGACCAAAGGGGGCUUCGGCUCUCGCCUUUAGAUUGGCCCAAGUGGGAUUAGCUAGUUGGUGAGGUAAUGGCUCACCAAGGCAACGAUCCCUAGCUGGUUUGAGAGGAUGAUCAGCCACACUGGAACUGAGACACGGUCCAGACUCCUACGGGAGGCAGCAGUGGGGAAUAUUGCACAAUGGGCGAAAGCCUGAUGCAGCCAUGCCGCGUGUGUGAAGAAGGCCUUCGGGUUGUAAAGCACUUUCAGUCAGGAGGAAAGGGUGUGAGUUAAUACCUCAUAUCUGUGACGUUACUGACAGAAGAAGCACCGGCUAACUCCGUGCCAGCAGCCGCGGUAAUACGGAGGGUGCGAGCGUUAAUCGGAAUUACUGGGCGUAAAGCGUACGCAGGCGGUUUGUUAAGCGAGAUGUGAAAGCCCCGGGCUCAACCUGGGAACUGCAUUUCGAACUGGCAAACUAGAGUGUGAUAGAGGGUGGUAGAAUUUCAGGUGUAGCGGUGAAAUGCGUAGAGAUCUGAAGGAAUACCGAUGGCGAAGGCAGCCACCUGGGUCAACACUGACGCUCAUGUACGAAAGCGUGGGGAGCAAACGGGAUUAGAUACCCCGGUAGUCCACGCCGUAAACGAUGUCUACUAGAAGCUCGGAACCUCGGUUCU
rnacentral:rRNA from 1 species